rnacentral:rRNA from 1 species
CUACCCAUGAGCAGGAUGAAGCGAAAGUAAAAUUUCGUGGAGGUCCGAACCCACGAGCGUUGAAAAGCUCGGGGAUGACUUGUGGGUAGCGGUGAAAUUCCAAUCGAGCCCGGAGAUAGCUGGUUCUCCCCGAAAUAGCUUUAGGGCUAGCCUCAAGGUGAGAGAUACGGAGGUAGAGCACUGAAUGUCCUAGGGGGUAUUGCACCUACCGAAGACUAUCAAACUCCGAAUGCCGUCAUCUUAUACUUGGGAGUCAGACUGUGGGUGAUAAGAUUCAUAGUCGAAAGGGCAACAGCCCAGAUCGUCAGCUAAGGUCCCUAAAUGUAAGUUAAGUGGUAAAGGAUGUGGGAUUGCACAGACAACCAGGAUGUUGGCUUAGAAGCAGCCACUCAUUCAAAGAGUGCGUAAUAGCUCACUGGUCGAGUGAUCCUGCGCCGAAGAUUUCCGGGGCUAAAACUUACUACCGAAGCUACGGCAUCAGUAAUGAUGGGUAGGGGAGCUUCCCAUACGGGUGGAAGCAUGACCGUAAGGACAUGUGGACAGUAUGGGAGUGAGAAUGUUGGCAUGAGUAGCGAGAUGUGGGUGAGAAGCCCACAGGCCGUAAACCCAAGGUUUCCAGGGGAAGGUUCGUCCGCCCUGGGUUAGUCGGGACCUAAGUUGAGGCCGAAAGGCGUAGGUGAUGGACAACAGGUUGAUAUUCCUGUACUACCGAUAACCGUUUGAGAGAUGGGAUGACACAGU